UGACCUCAAAUCAGGUAGGACUACCCGCUGAACNUAA
rnacentral:rRNA from 1 species